rnacentral:rRNA from 1 species
CCUACGGGUGGCAGCAGUGAGGAAUAUUGGUCAAUGGUCGGGAGACUGAACCAGCCAAGCCGCGUGAGGGAUGAAGGUACAGAGUAUCGUAAACCUCUUUUGUCAGGGAACAAAGGCGGGGACGUGUCCCCGGAUGAGUGUAUCUGAAGAAAAAGCAUCGGCUAACUCCGUGCCAGCAGCCGCGGUAAUACGGAGGAUGCGAGCGUUAUCCGGAUUUAUUGGGUUUAAAGGGUGCGAAGGCGGUCUGUUAAGUCAGCGGUAAAAGCCCGGGGCUCAACCCCGGCCCGCCGUUGACACUGGCAGUCUCGAGUUGGAGAGAAGUAUGCGGAAUGCGCGGUGUAGCGGUGAAAUGCAUAGAUAUCGCGCAGAACUCCGAUUGCGAAGGCAGCAUGCCGGCUCCACACUGACGCUGAGGCACGAAAGCGUGGGUAUCGAACAGGAUUAGAUACCCUAGUAGUC